rnacentral:misc_RNA from 1 species
GAUGAAGAACGUAGCGAAAUGCGAUACGUAAUGUGAAUUGCAGAUUUCAGUGAAUCAUCGAAUCUUUGAACGCACAUUGCGCCCGCCAGUAUUCUGGUGGGCAUGCCUGUUCGAGCGUCAUUAUCCUCCCUCAAACCCCGGGUUUGGUGUUGGACCCAAGUUGUGUGAACAACUGGUCUCAAAGACAAUGACGGCGUCCGUGGGACCCUCGGUGCAACGAGCUUUUAGGAGCACGCAUCGAGUUGCAAGGACCUUCCGGGCCGGUCUCCUUUACCAUUUUACAAGGUUGACCUCGGAUCAGGUAGGAAUACCCGCUGAACUUAAGCAUAUCAAUAAGCGGAGGA